GCGCAGCAUGUCGGAGAUCUCGAACUCGUCGUGGCGGCUGUGGUCCUUGAGCGAGAAGGCCACCAGCGGCACGCCCUCGUCCUUGGACACGAUGUUGAAGCGCCCCGUCUUCUCCAGUCCCUCCUUCACCACCAUGGCGUUCUCCUGGCAGUUCUCCAUGAUGUUCCUGUACCCCUGCGUUGUUGCAUGGGAUGGAAUGGAUAGAUCGUGUCAGUCAGAUCACCCAACGGAUGAACUCUCCUCCCCCGGCAUGAUGAAUGUUUGAAUUGGUGGUAGAUGGGUACCUCGAAGCCGUGGCGGAUGAGCUGGUAGUACUGCGCGAUCACCUGGCUGGAGCCCUUGGAGAAGUUGAGGGUGAAGGUGGGCUGGUCGGUGCCGAGGUAGUUGAUGUGGAAGAUGAGCUCGUCGGGCAGGUCCUCCUUGCUGCGCCAGACGCACCAGCCGAUGCCGGGGUAGACGAGGCCGUACUUGUGGCCGCUCACGUUGAUGCUCUUCACCCACGGCAGCCGGAAGUCC
rnacentral:lncRNA from 1 species